rnacentral:tRNA from 1 species
GGUUCCAUGGCCCAAUGGCAAGGCGUCUGACUACGAAUCAGGAGAUUGUGGGUUCGAUCCCCACUGGAACCU